AGUCACUGACAUUAGAUACCCGCGUAGUCCAGGGUGUAAACGCUGCAGACUUGGUGUUGGAGGCCCUUUGGGGGCAUUCAGUGCCGGAGAGAAGUUGUUAAGUCUGCUACUUGGGGAGUACGUCCGCAAGGAUGAAACUUAAAGGAACUGGCGGGGGAGCACCGCAACGGGAGGAGCGUGCGGUUUAAUUGGAUUCAACACCGUAAAACUCACCAGGGAAGACUGUUACAUGAAGGCCGAGAUGAAGACUCUGCUAGAUUUUCAG
rnacentral:rRNA from 1 species